rnacentral:lncRNA from 1 species
UGGGUCCCCACAACACCUUGACAGGCACAGCAGUGACAGUGGUUGACAGGCCCUGAAUGCUUAUCCUGUGAUAGGUGCUGCGUGUCAACCCACACCUCGGCCUCCAAUCUGCUCAGUGCUAUUAAUAGCCCCAUGUUCAGAUGAUGAAAUGGAAGGACUCAGAGAUGCUGUGACCUGCCCGGAGCCACAGAGCUAGGGAAGACCGUGGAAGAGGAGGGCGACCUCCAGUUUCAUCUGUCAUGUGAUCACUCCAGCCGCUCCUCUCCAAGCCUCGAUGUCGUCCUCUGAGAAAUGGGCUAAGCUCUCCCAGGGCCUUGCACAGGGCUGGGUUUGUGCUCAAAGCCACCUGCCCUUGAUGGAGAAAGUGGUCUGGACGGGUGGGAAAGAGGUGCAGCCUGUCUGGGUAAGGGCCCCGGCUGAGUCUGUCCCCCUCCCCAGGUGCUGAUCUCCUCCUCCCUACGGCUGGGGAAGAGUGAGCUGGCUGCCUGCCUGGCCCUGGCUCACCCAUUCAACAUCUCCUGGCGGCAAGCUGAGGCCAGUGGCCUUGCUGAGAGCAGGGGUGGCAGGCAGAGCCAGCAGGUGCAGCUCACCUGGAACAGAGGACAACCCGUGACCCUGAAGCUUGCCUGGGCCGACAGGUUCUCGGCACACAGCACCGCCUGGGACAGCUGCCUGGCCGCCCACCUGGGGCAGGAAACCUGGGGCCUGCACGCCCUCCAGGCCUGCGGAGCUGUAACACAGACCCCAGACGUGUUCACUGAACAGCUCGACCUGUCCUGGGGCCAGCAGCGCAUGAGGCAGAACUUGACAUAUGAGAGGCAUCAGCCAUCUCAGCCAGACAAGAUCAUCGUGGAGGCCACGCUGGAGCACGUCCUCAGGGCCUCUUCUGCCCCACAGAGCUUCCGGGAAGUACAGACUGACUACGCACACUGGCUGUGGCACUCCCUCCACCUGGGGCUCCGUGACCUGCCCAGGGUCCGACCGCAGCCUCCCCAGACAGCCCCUUCCUGAGCCUGGGGCUGGCAAGGGAGAGACCAGGGGCAGGGCCUGGGCCAGGCCUCCUCAGGACUUUGCCCUCCCGCUCCCAGCUUUGCGGCUCCAAGUCUCAUCAGGUUGGCCUACUGGACCGUGUCUCCACCUCAGCUUCUCAAAGCCUGGUCCAGUUGGAGGGAAAUGUGAACAACAGAAAGGAGAAAAUGAGGCUGUCUCCAGGCCUUUGUGACCCAUGAGGAGGGUGAGUGGCAGCUGGGUCCCAGCUCAGCUCGCUGGGCCGUGGG